GCCGCGGUGGCGGAAUUGGUAGACGCGAUGGAUUCAAAACCCAUUAACUUCGGUUGUGAGGGUUCAAGUCCCUCCCGCGGCA
rnacentral:tRNA from 1 species